rnacentral:lncRNA from 1 species
UUGAGUUUAAACACCGAAAGAAAAUAAUUUUUAUUGAUGAAAUAAAGUUUUACACAAUAUUGGACACACACCAAAGACACUAACUAAACACACUAGAACACCUCACUAUGUCUCUCUUUUCCACUCUCUUUCUCUACACUCUNCAAAGACACUAACUAAACACACUAGAACACCUCACUAUGUCUCUCUUUUCCACUCUCUUUCUCUACACUCUUUUUUUACACUUUCUCUCAUCAUACACACACAUACAUUCAAUUGACACACACAUAUAUAGAGGCAAAAUAUGGUGGAGUUUACUACCUACAUUUUUCUAGAGAUUUCUACCAUUGUCUUCACAAUUCUAUUCUCUAGAUUUUUCAUGAAGGGUAGUGGUCUUCAUUUCCAACAGGUAAUGAGUCUCUAGAAUAUUUUACAUGCUUAGUCUAGCAAAUUCUAGAUAUUUAAAGUUGGUGAUGAUUUCUUCAAUUCUCCCCUUCAACACCAAAUUUUUAUUUUAACCUUUUUCUUCUUCUUCUCGUCCAACUUUGCCUUGACAAAUUUCGAAGCACUCAGUUCUUCACUUAAAGCAUUUGCUGCGUCAAAUAUAUUUUGCUCUUCUAGGCUUUUCUCAAUUUCUUCUUGUAGUUGUUGAUCAUUUACUUGUAUUUCCCAAUUAACGCCAUUUUGUGAAUAACUCUGUAUCACGCUAAUCAACUCUUCUUUAUCACUCGAUAUCUUUAUAUCUUUGGAUUUCUCGGGACUUCGUUGUGCUUCCACAAUUUUCUCUAACAAUUUGUCUUUUGUUUCCUUCAAAUCUAGUAGCUCCACCCUCUUCGGUGUCUGCUCCACCCUCUACAGUGUUUGAUCCAGCAGAUCUAUCCUCUGUGGUAUCUGCUCUAGCAGAGUCACCCUCUGCGUGUCUGCAUUUCUUCAAGCACUUCUUCUAAUUCUGAGUUUGAUAGUUCCUCUCUCUGUGGAGUCUACCAUGAAGACUCUUCCUGAACCUCGAUGUCCUCUUUUGAGUCAUCAAUCCAAUCUUCUUCUGAGUCAUCAUCUUCUAACUCAUUAACCCAAUCAUCGGAAUCUAAUUGAUCAAGCAAGACUACCACCAAUGCUGAUUCAUUCUUUAAACUUGGAUUAAAUUUCUUUUCUUGAGCCUUCUCAAUUGUUGCUGUGGUUGCUUCUCAUCCCAUUCUUCUUCACUAUUAUACUUCUCUUGCUCGUUGGAGGUUCCUAUAUUGCCUUUUGCUGGCCCUUUUUAAACCAACAAUCUCUAGCAUAAUGGCCUUAUUUGCCACAUAUGAAACACGAGCCAUUAUUUUGUUCAAAUCUCUUGAACGGCUGAUCUCUCUUGUUACAACUUUGUUGAGCUCCCCUUGUUUGGUAGCUUCCUUCAAUUCGUCCUUCAAAUUUAUUUUCUUUUAAUUUUUUAUAAUUUUGUUAACGAAAUUGGCCUCUUUUUUUGUAGCUAAAUAAUGCUUCUUCAUCUUCUUUCUUUAUCGACGCUCCUAACAUUUGUCUGGUUAAUGCUUCUUGAUCAGACAACAAAUUCUCAAGAUUGACCAAUGAAGGUUGUUCUGGCCAACCUUGAAUUGUAGCAAUAAAACCUCGAAAUUCGGGUCUCAGACCAUGUAUGAUUAUUCUCCUCAUUUGAGACUCCGAAAUCUUACUUGAAAUGUCUAACUCAGAAAUUUCACGACAAACAUAUUUAACUUUAGUAAAAUAUUGACUUACUGUUAAUUUCCCUUGAAUAAUCGAGAGCAGCUCGUUCUCCAACAAUUGCAACCUCGGAUCAUUUUUCUUCGAAAAUAGUGAGGCCAACGUGUCUCAUGCUUCUUUUGGUGUGUUCUUAUCUCUUAUGUGUUCCAACAAUUCUUCCUCAAUUGUUGUCUUUAAAAUGAACAAAGUCUUACCCGCUUUGAUUCUCCAUUUCUUCAGAGCUCCGGCCUCCUCUGGCGGCGUUACGUUACUUUCGCCGACUACCUCCCACAGUCUCGCCCUUGAAGAUACGACUCCAUACAAGUUUUCGAUGUAGUGUAAUUCUGUUUAUUGAGCUUCUUUACACCGCCUACCACUUGUAGGUCGCCCAUCGUGACUUGAUUUACCUCCUCAUAAUCAAGCAAGCUUUAUAAAAGCUUUACAAACUCUUGAAGCUCAAAAAAUCCUGUCCCGACCGCCUUGCUUUGAUACCAAUUUGUUGAGUUUAAACACCGAAAGAAAAUAAUUUUUAUUGAUGAAAUAAAGUUUUACACAAUAUUAGACACACACCAAAGACACUAACUAAACACACUAGAACACCUCACUAUGUCUCUCUUUUCCACUCUCUUUCUCUACACUCUUUUUUUACACUUCCUCUCAUCAUUCACACACAUACAUUCAAUCAACACACACAUAUAUAUAGGCAAAAUAUGAAGGUGGAAUUUACUACCUACAUUUUUCUAGAGAUUUCUACCAUUGUCUUCACAAUUCUAUUCUCUAGAUUUUUCAUGAAUGGUAGUGGUCUUCAUUUCCAACAAGUAAUGAGUCUCUGGAAUAUUCUACAUGCUUAGUCUAGCAAAUUCUAGAUAUUUAAAGUUGGUGAUGAUUUCUUCAACCUCUAUGCACACCUGUUACACAGGAGGAGUCAUAUUACUACGUCAAAAUAAAUUACAAAGAUACUAAAAAUUAAAGUACAAAACCAUGAUACUGUAAUCCUAAUAAAAGAGAUGGAAAAAUCUAUCCUUAAGAAGGAAACUAAAUUCCUACAAUAUCCUAACAAGACAUGCAUCU